GUCAGCCGGUGCCAUAGUCUCUAUGGCGAUUGCUUCUGGAAACAGCAUGCAGGAUGCCCUAAAAUUUACCAAAAAUUUGGCUGAAGAUUGCCGGCUCAAUGGCACUGCAUUCCGCCUUGGGGUUAAGUAUAAUACAACACGAUAUGCAGGCGUACUGAAAAGUCCUUCCUGAUCCAAUUUAUGAGUGGUUGCAAGAUGCACAAAAAUAAUAAACCAGAAUUCUAAGGAAGCAAAGUAUGUAAUAAAUGUUAAGCAAAUUGCCAAGUUUGUUGUUGGUUUGGGUGAUAAAGUUUCACCAACAAAUAUUGAAGAAGGCAUGCGUGCCAGGAUGCUCUUGGUGGAAAUUCGAAAACAACAUUUAUUGCAAAUGUCACCCCAUCUAUUUGGUGUGUACCUAUUUUCCUAGAGUUCUCUAAUUUAGUUUUUUCUUUGUUUCGUAUUUAGAAUUAUAUUUGUUUUAUAUUGUGAAUCACAAAGAUAAUUGUUUCUGUGGUUGGUUCCAGCACAAACCAGUCCAUUCAUCCAGUUUGGUCCAGGUUUUACAUCCAGUCAGCUUUUAAGGUUCUUUGGGUUAUGCCUUGUUCUUUGGGUUAGCUAUUCAUGAUGUGGCAUGGUGGUUUCCCACUUUCCCUCUUCUUCCAAGAAAUGGAAAUGGUGUAUUUUAGUUUUGUUGUUCAUUUGUUCUGUUUUGUUGUCUCAUGUGUAAUAUGUUUUUCAUGAUGUAUUGGGUUUGUUGCAUUUUUGAAAAUGAAUUGAGGGCUUUUUCUCUUUCACGGCAAGUGAUAGGUCUUAGGUGGCCAUGAUUGUUGGCUAUGAAAAAGAUGGUCUUUUCUGGAAUCUCAAGAAUUGCAUUGUGAACUUACGUAAGGAAAUUUUCAAACUUUCAUUAAAAGCAUAUGACAGAAACAGCAUCACUAGGGACAUGCUAUAGUCACAAAAAUCACAAAGGUAAGCCGUUCAUCUCAUCUCACCUGACGGUCUUCCUCUCUUCUUAUCUCUAUGUGAUGAAAUUGAGGAUCCCGACUCCUAAUACCAACAUCACCCAACCAACUAGUACAAAAGAUAGACUCUGCUGCCCCAAACUAGCAGAAACCCAAAAAACAGUAAAGUUUGCCAACCAAAAACAGAUAUAUCCCUUCCUCUUUUGUCCAUGUGUGUGUGUGUUCUUUUUUUUUCUUUCUUUCUUUCUUAAAAAAAUAAAAUAAAAAAAUUAAGGCUAGAAGAUCCAUCUUCAGAAACAUCUAUUCAACUCGGUCACGAGAAUGGGGUGAGAUCCAAUCCCAGGUUGCUACUUGGCCAGGAUGGAUCUCCUCCAAACCAUUUCAAAAUGGAAAACCAGGUUUGUAGGCAAUGAGGAUUAUCUAAUGUGAGUUUCUCUAAUAAAGAUUAAGGCUUUUAUUGCCACAUUUUCCAACACUUGGUUGGACGUGUCGAUUUUUUUUUUCCUAAUGGUUUUGUUUUGAUGGUGGUAUAUGAAGGACAAAGACUACGUGAGUGGUGUAAAAAUAGGUAGUAGCUUAGAUGAGUUGAUUUAUCAAGGCAGCAAUGGUUAUUGCAGCUUCAUCUUCUCAUGAAUCAAUUCCUACCAUAGAUUGCAUUGGCCAGUUAGAGGUCAGAUCUCUACCCUCUCUUCUUCAUUUUCCUUACAUCUACUCCUUGCAAAUGGAUGCAUGUUGGGUUAGAAAUGAGACAUGGCCAUGAAAUUUUAAGCCCCAGUUCAUGUAAGUGGGCCAUUGAAAGUCACCACAUAUGCCCCAUGUAAGUUUUGGAUUGGAAUUUGACCAUGUUGCUUAUAGUGAAUGGGCCCUUCCUUUCAUUGACUUGUAUGGGAAGAAAUGCUUUCUUACUGGGGCAUUGAAUGUUAUAGGAUAUGCUAUCCAAAUCACAUGAAAUAGUUGAAAUGUAAUUAAUUUAUUUUUAUUAUUUUGUCUUACUGGUUGUAGGCCCGGACAGAUGAUGGUUGGAUGGAGAGAUUUCUUUUAUAUGUAUUCAGAACAUUUUCAACACAUUAUUGUAAAUAUUAUAUGUUUUUCAUUGUAAAAUAAUACAAU